UACGGAGGGUGCAAGCGUUAAUCGGAUUUAUUGGGCGUAAAGAGCACGUAGGCGGAGUGGUAAGUUAGAUGUGAAAACCCGGGGCUCAACUCCGGAUCCGCAACUAAAACUCCCAUUCUAGAGGAUGGACGGAGAAAAGGGAAUUCCACGUGUAGCGGUGAAAUGCGUAGAUAUGUGGAAGAACACCAGUGGCGAAGGCGCUUUUCUAGUUUAUACCUGACGCUGAGGAGCGAAAGCAAGGGGAGCAAACAGG
rnacentral:rRNA from 1 species